rnacentral:rRNA from 1 species
AUUGAACGCUGGCGGCAUGCUUUACACAUGCAAGUCGAACGGUAACAGGCCGCAAGGUGCUGACGAGUGGCGAACGGGUGAGUAAUGCAUCGGAACGUGCCCAGUCGUGGGGGAUAACGCAGCGAAAGCUGUGCUAAUACCGCAUACGAUCUGUGGACGAAAGCGGGGGACCGUAAGGCCUCGCGCGAUUGGAGCGGCCGAUGUCAGAGUAGGUAGUUGGUGGGGUAAAGGCCUACCAAGCCAACGAUCUGUAGCUGGUCUGAGAGGACGCCCAGCCACACUGGGACUGAGACACGGCCCAGACUCCUACGGGAGGCAGCAGUGGGGAAUUUUGGACAAUGGGCGCAAGCCUGAUCCAGCAAUGCCGCGUGCAGGAAGAAGGCCUUCGGGUUGUAAACUGCUUUUGUACGGAACGAAACGGUCCGGGUUAAUACCCUGGGCUAAUGACGGUACCGUAAGAAUAAGCACCGGCUAACUACGUGCCAGCCGCCGCAGUAAAAC